AUGAAAUGAGAGGCGCAUGUAAAAAUCUCCACACCCAAAGAUGGGGGCCACAUUUUUAUUGCUUGGCCUCGGACUGACAACGAUGUCUUUUUUAAAGCAGUUAACUUCUCGCACUGGCGCUCACUCUCACACACUAGCACAUUUGCUUACACAAACCACACAAACUUGAAGCUCGAGAAGCUUUACAGGUGGUGGUUGGAGAAAUUUGCAGCUAGCUUGAUUUUGAUAGCAGACUUUGGCAGAAGGAAGGAAAAAUCUGCAGCCCGAAAGGAAGACUCAAACUGUUUAAAGGACGCUUAGAAUGUAGCGUUGUGGCAGGUCGGGGCUCUUGACUAGAAGUUUCUGAAUACAUGAAUGAUUAAAGCAGACUCUCUUCCAUGUGAUCAGCUCUAUCGGAACAAACAGCAAUGAAGUGAAAGCUCCUUGGAAGGACAAGAAAGCAGCUUAAUGAGGAUUAAAGGCUUUAAAAGCAGUUAUGUUGGAAUACAUACAGAUAAACAUGCA